UUAUCAGUUUAAUGUCUGAUAAGUCCUCUAUCUGAGGACUAUAUAUUAAAUGGAUUUUUGGAACAGGGAGAUGGAAUAGGCGCUUGCUGCAUCCACUCCACGAAUAUCAUGAAUAUUU
rnacentral:snRNA from 1 species